GACGAACGCUGGCGGCGUGCUUAACACAUGCCAGUCGAACGGAAAGGCCCUGCUUUUGUGGGGUGCUCGAGUGGCGAACGGGUGAGUAACACGUGAGUAACCUGCCCUUGACUUUGGGAUACCUUCAGGAAACUGGGGCUAAUCCCGGAUAGGAGCUCCUGCUGCAAGGUGGGGGUUGGAAAGCUUGGGCGGUUGGGGAUGGACUCGCGGCUUAUCAGCUUGUUGGUGGGGUAGUGGCUUACCAAGGCUUUGACGGGUAGCCGGCCUGAGAGGGUGACCUGCCACAUUGGGACUGAGAUACGGCCCAGACUCCUACGGGAGGCAGCAGUGGGGAAUAGUGCACUAUGGGCGGAAGCCUAGUGCAGCAACGCCGCGUGCGGGAUGUCGGGCUGCGGGUUGUAAACCGCUUUCGCCUGUGACGAAGCGUGAGUGACGGUAAUGGGUAAAGAAGCACCGGCUAACUACGUG
rnacentral:rRNA from 1 species